GGGGGUGUUCUGGAUUCGACCCAUGAUUGGCGCGUAGAGCUGCCCUUCGAGAGUUGAGGGUCUCUCGUUAAAUCCCCUUCAAAACAAAAAUAAACGGCACUUACGAAGAAAUGCCCCUGGCAGCCUAAAUACGGCUCCUCGUUCGCCCGCUGACACCUGCUAGGUGAAGCGAACGUCGAUUAGCAGGCACGUUGGACCGGGCUAUCUGCGGCCGGACCAGCCUCUCUUCAUUCCGUGGGUUGGUUGACGCUUAAGCGCGUGCAGUCGCGUAACGACAACGAGAUAAAAACGGCACUAUAAGGGUAGAUGUUUUACGCAAAGGUUACGGGCACGCGGGUUCAACUCCCGCCACCUCCACCA
rnacentral:tmRNA from 2 species